UUUAAAUGCAACCGUUAGUUUCCGUGCUCAACUUUAAUUGUUCGUCUUAUUUAAAAAUAUUUUAUAAUUAAUAUUUUUGUUAUUAUGAGAUGACAAAACAUAAAUAGUAUAUUAUGCGUGACUUAUUAUUUAAAUAUUUUUAAAAAAUUUUAAAUAUGACGGAAGAUCAAAGUUAAUCACGUAAAAGACAGGAUUGNNNNNNNN
rfam:Oryza meridionalis cultivar OR44 (W2112) chromosome 3, whole genome shotgun sequence.